ACAUGCCUACAACAUAGCAUUAAUGCAUUCGAUCCCAUUAGAACUCCAUAGUUAAGAGAGAUCAGUCUAGAGUAGUAUUGGGAUGGGUGACCUCCCAAGGAAUCCUAGUGUUUUACAUGCC
rnacentral:rRNA from 1 species